rnacentral:rRNA from 1 species
GAGUUUGAUCGUGGCUCAGAUUGAACGCUGGCGGCAGGCCUAACACAUGCAAGUCGAGCGGAUGAAGGGAGCUUGCUCCUGGAUUCAGCGGCGGACGGGUGAGUAAUGCCUAGGAAUCUGCCUGGUAGUGGGGGAUAACGUCCGGAAACGGGCGCUAAUACCGCAUACGUCCUGAGGGAGAAAGUGGGGGAUCUUCGGACCUCACGCUAUCAGAUGAGCCUAGGUCGGAUUAGCUAGUUGGUGGGGUAAAGGCCUACCAAGGCGACGAUCCGUAACUGGUCUGAGAGGAUGAUCAGUCACACUGGAACUGAGACACGGUCCAGACUCCUACGGGAGGCAGCAGUGGGGAAUAUUGGACAAUGGGCGAAAGCCUGAUCCAGCCAUGCCGCGUGUGUGAAGAAGGUCUUCGGAUUGUAAAGCACUUUAAGUUGGGAGGAAGGGCAGUAAGUUAAUACCUUGCUGUUUUGACGUUACCAACAGAUAAGCACCGGCUAACUUCGUGCCAGCAGCCGCCG